rnacentral:misc_RNA from 1 species
AGAAGGAAGUAUACUUUCCUCAAUAGAAAGGCUUGUUCAGUUUGUGUGCUUGCGUCUCUUCGUUCUUCGCGUGAUCUCCCCUCCCUCGCACUCUUCUACACGCUCUUCUCCCUCUGAACGCACAACGCACGCACGCAGUCACUCUUUCUCACUCGCCAUCGAGUGAUCUGCUCAGGGACAAGCACGCAGACAUAGGCGUGUAGAGAGAGUGAGAGAUGUCCUUCUUUAUCAACAAGACCUGUGACGUCUUCCCGCCUCGCCGCCGAGGUCAGUCCGACGGGGCGUUGCGCAAGGAACUAAACGCACGCGGCGCACCCCGUGACUCCGCCAUCAUCACCAAGACUGAACUGGAUAUAAUCCGCGGCAUGAUCGAUGGUCGCUUCCCUGGCAGUCUGAGCGGCACGGCCGCGACCGCGGUGGCCCCACGCACGCACACGGAAGCCGCCGAGGAACACCGUCGCCGCAUGCAGGAGUUUGACGCGGAACGCGCCCGAAACGGCGUGGCCCCGCGGACGGCAGAGGAGAUCGAGCAGGCGCAGCUCCGUCAGGUGAACCUGGAGAAGGCGCGGCUGAUGUUGGACGAGGAGUGCGAUGAGGUUAAGGCCAUGAAUCGUAUCAUCAUGGAGGCCAAGUGUGUCGCCACUCGCGAGGCGCAGCGACUGGAGAAGCAAAAGCGCAUCGAGGAGGAGACGGUGUACAACCGCCAGAUGGACGCCCUCAUGGCGCAGGAGGCGGAGACGGCACAGCAGGUGUACCUCGAGCGCGAGCGGCAGCGCAUGGAGGAGCAGCGGCGCAACGCUGCCAUGAUCAAGGCGCAGCUGCAUGAGCGGUAUGUAGAGCGGGUGCGCCGGCUGGAGCGACAUCAACAGGAGCAGGAUGCUAUGAGUCGCCACAUAGAGCGCCUGCAGGUGGAGGAGAAGGCGGAAAAGCUGCGCCGUAUCGAUGCGGCCCGGCGGCUGAUGGAGGAAGCCGCCAUCGCGAAUGCUGAGCAGAUCGCCCUGAAGCAGCGCGAAAGAGAGAUGGAGCUCGAGGAAGACCGGAAGAUGGCGGAGUACAUUAAGCAGAAGGAAGCACGCGAUGAGGCCUACGCUGAGGAGCAAGCCCGUCUUCGGCGCGAAAAGGAUAUGGAGAUCGCGCGGCUACGUGCGAACCAGCAGCGCGUGCAGGACAAGCAGGCUGAGCUGGAGGAGCUGCGGGUCCGCCGCGUUCAGGAGGCCUACAUACGUGAGGAGCGUCGAAAGGAGAAGGAGGCAGCGGAGCGGGAGAGCGCCAUGCAUGCCGACCUUCAGCAGGCCCGCCUCGCCCAGGUGGAGGAGCGCAACCGCCAAAAGGCUUUAGAGAAGGUGCAAGAGCAGGAGGAACUGGACCGCAUGCUGGCAGUGCAGAAGAUCAGUCGCGAACAGGAGCUCGAGCGCCAGGCCCGCACUCGCCGCCUGCAGGAGGAGAAUUCGCUAGCGUUGCUGAAGCAGAUGAUGGACGUCGAGGAGCGUCGCCGUCGUCAACGGCAGGAGGAGAUUGAAGAGGGCAACCAGCUCCGAAAGGCGGCACGUGAGCGGCAGGCAGCCCUGGAGGCAAUCCGUGACCGCAAGUUAGGCGAGCUGGAGGAGCUGGACGUGCCGGAGCAGUAUCGCCGGGCCCUCCUCAAGGUGGGCAAGUGAGCCCACACGCGGAGACCAGCGCGCUCGUGUGUGUGUGUGUGUGUGUGCGGGUGUGCGUGGGUGGAGGUGAGUACGUGUAGGUGGUUUGCUGAUGUGCCGAGGGCAGCUCUCUCUCUCUAUCUCCCCUUUUAGUGGUUUUGCGCUUCAUCAUCAUCUUCCACCUCUUCUUUUCCUCGCUAGUGACGACUUGCGCUCGCCGGUGCGACGCCGCUGCCACCCAUGUAAAUACCCGGUGCGCGCGUUCCAACAUAGAGCGAUAUGCUGGCCGGUGUGCCGGAGUCGUACGCUGUUAUGGAUGUAAACAAGGAACAAGGAACCAAGAGAGGGAGAGCGAGCGAGAUGAAAACGGCGAAGGGCGCCAGCCUCUGCUCCCGCGUGGCAUCGGCCCUUAGCGGGAGGAUGCGUCGAGAUGCUGAGGUCAAAGCACUAUGCCACACGAGUCGCUGCUCAUGCCCACCUUCCUCCGCCCCUCCGCCCCUCCCUCAUCCCUCACCCCUCAUCCCCCCCCCGCUGCCUCGUCCCUCUUUGCCCUCCCCCCUCUACCACGCACUGCGCGGUUCAG